CACAGCGGGAACUCCCUUGCUCACUUUCUCUUUGGCACCCACGUGGAUCGAGGCCAUGGACCCUGGGAAAAGCUGGCCCUCGGGGAGGGGCUGCUGGGAGAGGGUUAAGAGAGCCACACCCAGGCCCAGACCCUCUGGGUCCCGGCCAAGCUGAAAUCAAUCCUGUUCUUUUAACUUGUUGGCGUUACAGGAAAAACCAGGCCAUAAAAAAGGGAACUUGUACUAAUAAAAGCCCCGACAUUGCCAAGGUGGAAAAUGCAGCUCGGGAGACUGCUGGUUUUCAGCCCUUGAAUCUGAAAGGGAGUCUGGGGACAUGCUAAUUUUGAACUUUUCCUACAUCCGUCCUGCUUCUGGAGGCACAGGCUGUCUUGAAUUCCUUUGCACAAUAAACGGAGGGGAAAGAAUCCCGUCCCUGCAGCAAAACAUAAGCGCGACUUCCCCGAUGGGCGGAAAAGCGUGUACUCUUUGGGAGACACGUCACAGCAUUUUCAUUUUGUUUUAUUUUUGUUUUUUAGCAUUCCUGAGUGAAAAGGGACAUUCAGGGAAUAUGAGCUCAGCCCCUAAUUUGGAAAGACCGUGUGAUGAAUUCGAAGGCCCAGGCCUUGAUGGGUGUCCCAGGAGAAUGACAAAGCUUAUCUCCUCUUGGGCCCCUCUGCUUCCUGGAGCCAGAGGGGAGGAGGGUGCUGCCUCACGGUUGAUAAACAGGUGAUCGGUCCUUAAGGGGGGGGUGACCAGGCCCCCAGGGGCCCUACCUGUCCCCUGCCUGCUGCUGUCCCUGCCUGCCACCUCCGGGAGGGUCUCUGCAGCACCACAUCCAGAGAGAAUCCGGAGCCCAGUAGCACCUCACCUGGAAUUUGGGGGUUUUCAGGCAUGGAGAAGUGAUGCUCCUGCAGCCUCCAGGAGCCCAGUAGCACCUCACCUGGAAUUUGGGGGUUUUCAGGCAUGGAGAAGUGAUGCUCCUGCAGCCUCCAGGUGUGUACCUGCUUCACUGGGGGAAGGAGCCUGCUGUGGAUGGAUGCCUGUUCACACGUGGCAUCUACACCUGCAGAGGGAGACUGCUCUACUGAUUCUCUACAGAAGCUGGCACAGCUCAGUAGACCCUGUGUGUGGGCUGUGGACCCUAGGCCACCACCUCGGAGAGAAAGCUGCAACCUUGGCCUGCAGAUGUGGCCAUCAGCAGACAGCUGGCUGCUGCAGCAGUAGAACCAGAGAACAGCCUCCAUGCCCAGGUGUGAGAUGCCCAAGGUGUCUGUUUACACCUGUGGGAGGCUUUACCUAGGGUAGGGAGCUUGGGGCAGUGACCAGUUGGUGGGAUUUGAGUGUUCCCACACUUUUGGCCUCAUUCACAUCCCUAGACAGAUGAAUCCUCGGGAUACACAGAGAUAUUUCUUCUAGCUCUCACAUGGGUCCAUACUUUACAACUCUUCAUGGGUCCAUGUGCCAGGAGCUGGGGAUUCCGUGAUAAAUGAACUCAGGAGUCGGAGAAUAUUAACCAACAAAGAGUAUGUAAUAUCAGCUCAGCCAGCGGGGAAGCAGAUGAAAUUGGGCUGGG